GAUGAACGCUGGCGGCGUGCCUAAUACAUGCAAGUCGAGCGAACAGACGAGGAGCUUGCUCCUCUGACGUUAGCGGCGGACGGGUGAGUAACACGUGGAUAACCUACCUAUAAGACUGGGAUAACUUCGGGAAACCGGAGCUAAUACCGGAUAAUAUAUUGAACCGCAUGGUUCAAUAGUGAAAGACGGUUUUGCUGUCACUUAUAGAUGGAUCCGCGCCGCAUUAGCUAGUUGGUAAGGUAACGGCUUACCAAGGCAACGAUGCGUAGCCGACCUGAGAGGAUGAUCAGCCACACUGGAACUGAGACACGGUCCAGACUCCUACGGGAGGCAGCAGUAGGGAAUCUUCCACAAUGGGCGAAAGCCUGACGGAGCAACGCCGCGUGAGUGAUGAAGGUCUUCGGAUCGUAAAGCUCUGUUAUUAGGGAAGAACAAAUGUGUAAGUAACUAUGCACGCCUUGACGGUACCUAAUCAGAAAGCCACGGCUAACUACGUG
rnacentral:rRNA from 1 species